AAUAUAUACAUAUAUACUUUAAAAUACAUCAGAGUAAUUGAAUGAAAUUAAAGUGCCUUUGAUUUGUACAACCAUGUACAGAGAGAAAUAGUUUUGAAAACAGGAUAUAAAAGAACUCUUCAGUUUUGUUCUGUAAGGAUUUGCAUUAAUGGAUUCCACCUGUUUCAAAAGCUGUUCUGUCUAUAAUGAUCAUCCUGAACUAUUCAACUACUCAAUAGGGCUGAAAUACUAAAAACUCACAUUUUAAUGACAUGUUUUUUUACUGGAAUUCUUUAAUGUCUUCAAAGACCAAACGUUUUAGUUUCCUUUAAUGUUUCUACAAUGAUCACGGCACAUCUUUACAUGUGGAAAAUGCACACCACCUGAUGUGUUCUGUUCUGAGAUGGAUGCUUCAUUUCUUCUUUCCAGUAAUGAACAGUUUUUAAAAAAAAAAAACAAGUUUAGAUUGCGUUUCACUCAUUUUUAGUUAAAGGUAGAUUUCAGAAGCUAUUUACUUUAGAAGAUGUCUAUAUGAUUAAAGGGUAAAUGUGUUAUGUUCUUUAGUUUUAUGGAAGUGAAUGUGAUUCAGCAGACUGUUAGAUCUGCUUUGUGAAAGAAGCCCCAGGGGAUUCCACUCAAUUGCAAACACAAUCAAAAAUGAAAAAAGUCAAUUUACCAUGUAACUCAAAUAGUAAUAUAAUCCUGCCUAAUUGUGCCAGGUUCAUUACAAAUCGAUAUUAGUUUGCUAACAGUAAUUGAUAUUUGUAUCAUGAACGUGUUACAGUCUAUAUAUUUUGAAAAGUCAAGAUAUAUCACAUAUACUUGAUUUAUUUAAAGAUGUAUUUCUGCAAUGUGAACUGCGUUUUAUCUGUGUUCUCCUUCCUGAGUCGACACUAGAGUACUGGCGCAGAAGUCUAGGUAGGUACUGUUGGGCCAAGUAGUGAGAGCUCCCCCUUGCGUUGUGCAGUGACACCAAUAACUUGUUGCUGCCCUUGACCAAAACAAAGACAUGCAUUGUGUCCUUACUCUCCUAGUUGUUAUUUAACAUGUGUCAGGGGGCUACUAUUAACGUGUAAUAAACCAACAAUAUUUUGUAUUGUAUUGAUUAAUGAGAUAGAAAGAACAAUUCAGUAUUAGUCAAGUCUAACAUUUUAUGAAAUGUGUUUUAUCCACACAGGUGACGAUUAGAAACUGCACAACAGCACAAAUUCAUCCUCUGGCUGCGAUGAUGUUUCUACACAAAACGAACAAAAUAAUGUUUGCGAGAGCUGCAGUUGAAGUGUCUCAUUUGUUGAGGAAUCGUGUAGAUAUCUGUACUAAUUCAGAGUUGUUUUUUUUAGGUGGUAGCAUGGAAAAAGAAAAGAGAAAGGAAGGAUACACACCUGUCCCAGGUGUGACUAUGACCAAUUGGACAGACAGUGUAGCUGUAAGUGUUGAAAACUCUCCUGGACAUGGAACCUCAUCCCAGGAAUCAUCUUUCGAUAACACUGCUGGCAGCACCAUUGCAAAAGACCUACAAGUCAAUCCGAUGAGCAGCUCACAAACCUGGAGCUCACACAGAACAUCUACUGCUCAGAUAAACAGCAACAACAACAUUGUGGAUACAGCGAUGCAUUUAAAGGCCACAGUUCCACCUGAAAAUGUGACUGACUUGACUCUAUAUGAACAAUCAAAAGACAUAAGAAGAGAUGCUGGAACGCACAGCCAGACAAGUUCAGGAGCAGUGAAGUGACCAAGAAUGCGUCUUCACGGAUAGCUUUCCCUGUUUUUCUUCUAAAGACUUCUUUCUAAUAGCAACUCGUCUAUGGGUCACCUCCUGGAGCAUUAACACAGUGGCCAGCCUGGAUUCUACAGGAUGUGGCAUCAAUGAACCAAUCAUAUCUUCACAUACAGUCAGGAUGCGAUCAAGCUGUUGAGAUGUGUAUUACUGAAUUACUGAAAAUGACUGAAAUCUGAGACGUCAUUAUUUUUUAUUUUAUUUUUUUUUACUCCUGUUCUGCUGAAACAGCAUCUAAAAUAUAUGUACUUACUUUUGCAUGGUUCAAUUAAAUCUACUUACUCAGCUUAACUUACUGUGUAGUUCAAAGUCAUAACUGGGACUACUUUUGUGGUCCCUUUAUUGGCGUAAGGAUAUUUUAUAAAAACAACAUUUUUUUUUUGACCAAAAAAUUACUUUUUUUUUUUUUUAAAUCCACUGUUUUAUAAACGCAAUAAGGCCAUUCAAGGUGUCGAUAUAUGUUCAAUAUAUGGACUUCUCAGGGGUUGGACAUAUAUGGACACCAUGUCCGGCCUUAUUGUAUACAUAUAAGAUCAAUGCUUUUACAUUUGUAGGGCAAGCAGCAUUUCUUUAGAAUGUUAUCAAAGUAAUAUAAAGUUAUGGGUACUAAUUUUUAACUGUACAAAUGUUCUUGCUAGUGUAUCAUACUGUAAAUGCCUUUUAAAGUUAUACAGAUUAUAUGUACACAUUUGUGUUGCUUAAAGUUAAACAUAUUCAGAAAGGUAGCAUUUCUUCAAGUUGUGAGAUAUUUCUAAGU